AGCUGGCAAUACCUGAAGUCCGUGAGCUAACCUCUUCUCCUUGUGAGAGGCAGGAGGCAGCGGCCGAGGGUAGGGCUAGUGACUGGGACG
rnacentral:rRNA from 1 species